UACGACUAUAUCACGUUGAAAAACCCGUUCAGGUAAGUUCACCGAAGUUAAGCAACGUCCGGCCUGGUCAGUAUCUCUAUGGGUGACCGGUUGGGAAUUUCAGGUGCUGUAAG